rnacentral:rRNA from 1 species
UACGAAGGGGGCUAGCGUUGUUCGGAAUUACUGGGCGUAAAGCGCACGUAGGCGGCCAUUUAAGUCAGGGGUGAAAUCCCGGAGCUCAACUCCGGAACUGCCUUUGAUACUGGGUGUCUUGAGUGUGGAAGAGGUGAGUGGAAUUCCGAGUGUAGAGGUGAAAUUCGUAGAUAUUCGGAGGAACACCAGUGGCGAAGGCGGCUCACUGGUCCAUUACUGACGCUGAGGUGCGAAAGCGUGGGGAGCAAACAGG